rnacentral:lncRNA from 1 species
CAAAACAUCUGCAAGGUGGAGAAACCACACAUGGAUAUUUGAUAGCUCCUUAUUUAAGGUGACUGUGUUUGUCGUCGUCCUCUGUUGGGAAAUUAUCAAGAAUUUCAAGAUGCCAACAGCAGGACAUUAAACCAAAUGCAGGGUCCUUCCAAAUGUGAGCCUGUGAGCCCACACAUGUUGCACACCCAUGAAGCCAGCCCUGCCUCAAGGCUUUGUGGUCACAUUUUUAAAUGGUGGCCCAGUUAAGGCAACACAAGUCCUUUCAACAGGUGGGCCAUCCAAGGGCCCUAGGAUUCAAGUUAGUCAUUUGUAUGUUUAGAAAAUGAUGGAGGCUUCCAUUUCUAUUAAUAUAUCCAGAUCUCCACCCUCCUGCUUUACGUCAUUUACAUUUUUAAGAGCUUAGGUGUUUUACUAACAGGUUCUAAAAGCAAAUGAUCGGAGUAGAGGUGGAAUUGUCCAUUUUGUCUGUCUGAGAUUUGGAACAGAUUGAAAAGUAAAAAACUUCUAGGAGUUCUUAGGCCCAUUCAGAUACUCACUUGCUGUUCUAGGCAUGACCAUUUUUAUACCAAAGCUGAGCAGAUAGGUUGGGAUGAGGCAGGGCAGGAGGGAAGGAGGGAGUGGCUUAGUUAUUGAGGGAGUACUCUUUGGGAGAGAAGAGAGGCACAAGGAAGAGGAUGUGAGAAAGUGCCAGAUAACUCCGCAUUUGGGGAUCCUUUUUUGUACAUGCAGAGGCUUCUAAGCCAGGCUUUCCAGAAGAAAGAAACUCCUCUGUGUGGAGAGAGAGGGUGAGACAGGAAGUUAGAACUGGAAGCACUGGGAGAGAAUGAAAUCCUAGAAAGGCAAUUAACACUUUCUGACAGCACUGAGCAGAUAGCUAAGGGCUUUCAACUCGCAAGUACAGGGAAUCAAAUGCUAGUACACUGAACCAGAAAGGGGGCGGAGGCAGAAGGAAACCCCUCUCCUCUUUUUCAGAAAGGAGAACUCGGUUAGAAAGAGCAGUGAUGGGUAACAGUAAAAGUUUGGUAAGGAGAAGCCACAUUUGCAUUGUACCUUUAAUUCGUUUAAAUUAUCCACAUUCACCUUGGUUUUAAUUUAUUGUAUAAAUAAUGCUAAUUGUGAGUAGCUAUUUUCACCAUUAAAUUUGACAGAUACGUGCCUGGUUGAUGCAAAUUCUCCAGGGCUCCAAAACUGUUUUUACGCUAUGACCUGAAAGCUAAGAAUUAUUUUUUACAUAUUCGAAGAUUUGAAACAAACAAACAAAAAGCAAAGAAGAAUAUACUGCAGAAACCGUAUGUGGCCUGCAAAGCCAAAAAUAUAUACUAACAGGUCCUUUAUAGAAAAAGUUUGCUGACCCCUAAUCUUUCCCGCAUCAGCCUGGGGUUAUCAACACCUAAGUCAGUUCAGUGCAUGACACUGCUGUCUCUCUGAGUACCAGCCUCUGAGGUCCCAAUUUAAUUCGCCUGGGGUGCAGCCUGGGAAUUGAUUUUUUUUAACCCUCAGGUGGUUCUAGUGGACAUCUGAGGUCAAAAGUAGUUCUAAUACAGUAGUUCCCAAAGUGAGGUCUGGGACCAGCAGCAUCAACAUUGCUUGUUAAACGCAAAAUCCCAGGCCCUACCCCAAACCUGCUGACUCAGUAACUCUUGGGAGGGGUCCAGCAACCUACCAGUGUGCAUUCAGGUGAUUCUGAAGCACGUUCAAGUUUGAGAACACUGCUCUAAGGCUUGGCCUUUCAAACUUAAAGGCCGUGCUCAUGGUUGCUCAUGGCAGGCAAACCUCACGAAUGGGUCAGGUUGAAAGCACGGAAGCUGACGAGGGGGAACCGAAAGGCUUCAGGUCUGAGCUUGGAAAUAACCACAGUUGUUCUCUUACACAUAACUGAGGCCCUGGGAGGUGAAGUGAGCUGCAGGAACCAAAGCUUGGGACAAAAUAACUCCACCAAUGAUAAUAAUGAAUUCCUCCCUAGAAAAUUAUCAUUUAUAAUACUUUUAACAUUGGGCUCUAUUUUUCAUUAUUACAUGUAUAUUUAUCUUUUAAUGUUAGUAUAUUAAUUUACAGAAGGUACCCACUUGGUAAACAAGGAUUUAAACACAACUUUGAACUAUCUUGAAAUAAUUUAAAUAAAUGUUAUACAUGCCUGGGAAGUAGGAAAAUUGGACUGCUGACUUUCACCUCGUAAUUGAUGGGUGAAUUCUGUUCUCCUAACCUCCCCCUAUGGGAGGACAGAUUCCCACAGGGUACUUGGCCCCAGUUUCCUGCCCUCCAGUGAUGUAGCCUGUGGGGCAGUUAUAAGAAUGUAAUAAGAAUUACACUGAAGGCCUACCACGUGCCAGGCACAGUACGAGGUGUUAACAUACAUUAUCUCCUGUAAUCAUUACAACUCUCUAAAGUCAGCGUUAUUAUCCCCAUUUUAUAGUUGUGAAUGUUGAGGCACAGAGAGCUUAAAGACCUUCCCCAAAUCCCAAAACCAAUAAAUGGCAGAGCUGAGAUUCAAACCCAGGGAGGUCUGGCCUCAAAAUAGGCGGGACUGGAGGUAGGGAAGCUUGCCUGUGAUCAGGCGUGAUAUGGCAUUUCAGUUAAUCUACACUAGUUGAGUUUAUGAAUACGCAAAGUGAUCUUUCCCAGCCCUCCCAAGUCUUGCCCAUUUUCCUGGGUUUCCUUGGCAAGAAGUGAGUCCACACCAUACAAAGGUUGGAUUGCUGAUGUGCUCAUCUUAGAAUCCAGGGACCAGAGGCACUUGGAGCAACCAGAGAUCUUCUGUCCAGGUUGUCUAGAAUGCCAUCGCUACCAACAGAGCUGACUGGGUCCUUAAAUUCCUCCUUCACUUUGGAAAUUAGCAGUCAAGGUGGUGUAUAAAUAUUACACAUUAUCAUCCUCGUCAAUAAUAAUGAGGCAGCCUUUCAGAUCUUCGUGUCUCCAAAGCGCUGUGUGCUCAUUAGCUUCUGAUGGCUUAGUAUCGUUAUCCUUGGUUACAGCCACAGACAAUGGGAGCACAAAGGCCAUGACCCCGGGGGGGUAACACUGUAAGUCCACAGUCCUCCCUAGCCUGGAGCACUGGGCUGAGAAUCAGAGAUACGGAUUUGCAUCUCAACUCUUCUCAGACUUGAUCGACUUGAGAAUGGAGAAAUGACAUCCACCCUCUUGGUCUCUUUAGCCAAAAUAUGAGAGUGGGCUGAUUUCUAAGGUUCCUUCUCCAUGUGAGACAGGCAGGCAGCUUUCUAAACCUUGGAAACAAUGGGGCGUGAGUGAUGAUGGUGGUGGUGGUGUGACGAGUACAUGAUGAAGGAGCUGAUUUGGGCACUCUCUAGGGUAUUCUGAUGCCAAGUUGGUUUCUAUAACAUCCUCCCUCAACAACUCAUGGAACUAAAAAUCUUCCUUUUUUUGGAAAGAAUUGGGGUAACAGUGUGGGAGUCGUUGGUUAAUCGCCAUGUGCGUUCAUUAUUUCCUUGCCCAAAAAGGUCAAGCAUCUUUUUACCAGACAAGUAUCUGUGUGCUUGGCUCUCUUGCAAGCAGAAGAUUCUAAUGCUUUCCAAAGGGAUUUCUAAGUCCCUAAAAUACAUGUUUUCACAGACCUGAGAUGGAGAGACAUGGUUUAUUUGUCAGGGAGCUUAGCAACUUCCAAGCUCUUUUCAAUAAAUCACAUCACCUUCGGACUUAAGACCUAACAGAUUUACAUCCAAGUCCCAAAGUGAACAUUGGAAUUCAAAUCUGGAUGCAUCAGUGUUCUCUCCCUCACCCUCAACACAGAUUUAUCAGCCAGAGUGGUGUGGGAGAAGGCAGGCUGGGCCAGGAGUCUGGACACCUGGGCUACCUGGCUUCUAGCUCCAGCUCGGCCUCUAGUAACAUCUCUGGAGCCCACUGGGUUUCUGAGCCUGCACCAGGAAAAUAGUCUACUCUUGGGAGUUGACAGUUCAGGCCUACACAAAAAAAGAAGGGUUCCACAUCAGUGGUUCUUACCCUUUUUGAGUGAGGGAGUCACAAACCCCUUUGGAGAUCUGCUAAAACCUGUGGAACUGCAGCACAUACAUAGUAAAACUCUUCAUACCAUCUCAGGGGCCCCGAAGUUAUAAUUCCCUGCAAGGAAUGGUCUUUUAGUCUCAUUGCUAAGCCAUGGUAUCCUGUUCCAGAGACAAGACAGGCACUAUUUUGAAAGCAAAUGAGAAAUUGUACAAAUCCUUCUGUCUGGGAAAGAAGAUGAGUUUUUAAGUUAUUCGGACAUUGUUUAUUCAAUUCCUGCUGCCAGGAAGGAAAUGUCGCUGCCUUUCCUAUUCCCAGCGGGCAGGUUAUGAAUAUCCUUAAGCAUGAAAUGUCGUGCAUGAGGAAGGCUUUUGUGGGAGAGCUCCUCCUUCCACCCCGCAGUAAACUCUUCUCCAGCCUGGCCCAUCCUGCCAAAGCCACAGAACAUCCAAACUGCCACUAUCCCUUGCUGGGCUGCUGCUGUGUGCUGGGGAGGGGCAGCUGCACAUCCAGCCAGUACUUACUGAAUUCAGGCACCGGCUGGGGCAUCACGGUCACUCUCUCGGGGAUCCUCAGCCUUUGAUCCCCACUGGGCAGAAGACACUGGCUCAGGUAGAUCAGAAGACCUGCCCAAGGUCCUGCAGCUGGCAAGGGUGACAUUAAUUUUCCCUCCAUGUGUGUGACAUCCCAGCCCCUGAAGAAAACACCAGAGAGCCAGGCUCACAUUUAUGUUCACCCACCUCCUGGCACCAGGGAUGGGGAAGGGGACAAAAGCCACACUUCUGCCUGUGCUCAGGAUGGUGUAUGAGCUGCCCUACAGAGGACCUCUCCCUGAAGCUUGUGGGUGUCCUCUGCAGCAUCCAACCAGAGUCAUUUCCCAGUGGCUGCAGCUGUGGACCUGGGGGGUGCUGCUCUGGAGACCCCACCCUAGAAGGGGCAGCAGUGUUAUUGAGGGCCCCCUGUCCUAGGCUCUGAGUCCUCUGCAUCAAGCCUAGUGGAGAGCUCUUGGUUCAGACCAGUCUGAAAGCUGGGAUCAUUGUUGAUCAGGGGCAUGGACGUGCCUCCCACAUCCUCUAGACAGCCUUGAGGAUCCAUGGUCUCUGUGCCUUCCCUUCACCCCUGUACACAGCAGUGAACACUCACCUUGGCCCCUGAGAACAGAGACGCAUGUGGGCCUCCAGCUCCAGUCUGGGUCCUAAACCCAAGCCUGGGAGGCUGCUGGGCCUGCAGUGUUGUCUGCUUCUGCCUGGCUUCCUGGGGGACUGUGGAUGUUGCUGUCAGCCUCAUGGUUACCCAGCCCUCUGGCCUUCUGGAGUUUCUGCAAGGCACCAGCCUCCGGCUACUGGCUGGACCAGCUUGGAUGGACAGCAGAGUGACAGGGAAGACCCCCUUCAGAUGUUUCUGUCCUAGCUCCAGGUCUGAGGAGCAGAGCAGAGCUGAUCUGAAAGGACUCCCAUUGUAAAAUGGUUACAAUGGUAACUUUUAUGUUGUGUGUAUUUUAUCCCAAUAAAAAGAAAGAAAUGGAAAGGGGUUGGGACCAGGUUGGAGGUCAGCAGAAGCUGAAUAUUGUCUAUGAAAUGAAGGGCUUCUCCAUGGUCUUGGAGGCCACCUUCAGUUCUAAAAGUGUCUUGUGAGUCUGUGAUAUGGUCCCAACUCUCCCCACAUUUUAACCAUAAACAAGUGUGGAGUGAUGAUAGGCAAUUGAAGAAUGGAAAAGCUGCUGGCUGCCUGUUGGUCUCCUAGAGUGUCCAAGCAGGAAUUUUGUGGUCCCAGCUUUGGGGUCGGUGGCGGAGGGAGACAGUGGUCAGAGGAGCUUAAAUGAGUGGAGAGGAGCUUAAAUGAGUGGAGAGGGGCUUAACACACCCCUUCAACCAGAGGGGCUCUGCUUUAUCUUUUUGAUAUAUCGAGGCUCUACAUAAAAACUUAUUUGAAAGAAUCUACUAGAACACCAACUUUCUCAUUGUACAGAUAAAGAAACUGAGGCACAGAGGGAGGUGGUGACUUGCUCAAGGUGCUGGCAAGU